CCUACGUGUGGCAGCAGUGAGGAAUAUUGGUCAAUGGGCGGAAGCCUGAACCAGCCAAGUAGCGUGCAGGAUGACGGCCCUACGGGUUGUAAACUGCUUUUAUACGGGAAUAACGCGCCUUACGUGUAGGGCUUUGCAUGGACCGUAUGAAUAAGGACCGGCUAAUUCCGUGCCAGCAGCCGCGGUAAUACGGGAGGUCCGGGCGUUGUCCGGAGUGAUUGGGUUUAAGGGGAGCGUAGGCCGCAUGUCAAGCGUGCUGUGAAAUGUCCGGGCUCCACCCGGGCCUUGCAGCGCGAACUGGCGUGCUUGAGUCCUCGGAAAGCAGGCGGAAUUCGUCGUGUAGCGGUGAAAUGCUUAGAUAUGCCGAAGAACCCCGAUUGCGAAGGCAGCUUGCUGCAGCGGAACUGACGCUGAUGCUCGAAAGCGCGGGUAUCGAACAGGAUUAGAUACCCCAGUAGUC
rnacentral:rRNA from 1 species